GGCAAGCGGCCAGGAUACUCACGAGGACAGCCACGCCCAGGAAGCAGACCCCGCCCACCACGCCGGCCAGCACUGGCUGGGGCAGGAGGCCCGGCAGCUGUGUGCGCGAGGGGUAGACCUCCAGGCCUGGGCAAAGGGCCACGGGGGAGGGUCGGUGUCCACGACUUAGUGGGCUUCGAGCCCCCCAAUCCCCAGGGCUCUGCCCUCCUGCCAGAUUCUCACCAGAAGUGGAGACGUUGGCCGUGUUGCUGGGAUCACUGACAUAGCUACCGGCGAAGGCCACAAGGCGGAACUCGUAGAGAACGUCCUGGGGGUUGGGGUCCAGGAAGGGGGUCAGGGCUCAGCACUGCCCACCCCCACCCCCGUUCGGAAAGACUUUGCAGUUGGAAGGAGCAGACAAGACGAUCUCGCUGAAGGGCCCGCUCCCCAGCUUGUUCUGAGCGAGGACGCUGAACUGGUAUUGGGUGUGGGGCUGCAAGCCUGGCACUAGGAGAGCGGAGGGCAGCCUGGUCCAAAUUAAAGGGUCGGGCCAGGCAGGAUAUCUUACUGUGUGGAGGUGACCGAUGCCCCACCUCCCCAGCACCAUCUCUGCAAAAACCUCUGUGAUGGCAUCUGACAGCUGCUGCCAUGGCCACCGUGGGAAACACAGACUGGGAAGCCCACCCCCCCUCCCCACAUGUGUCUGUCCCACCCGCCUCUGUCAGCCCGGUGUCAGCACUAGAGGGGCCACUACCAAUGGGGGUGAAGACUGGGACUGCAGACUCCAGGAGAGCCACUCACAGGGAAUCCAGUGUGCACGGCACACCCUGGGGUUGAGCUUCAAAGGUGUGGGUCUCCCGGCCUGCUGUCUUCCCAGCACUCCGAGAUUACAUCCUGCAUCUUCCACCCCAAAUCGGUUCUUCUUCCUGGCUUCCCUAGUUCUGUGUUAAAGGCUAACAUCCGACUCCUCACUCUGUCUCAGGCCCCACGUCUGUCCUCCUGGGAAGGCCUUUUGUCCCAUCUAUCUUCAUGUCCUCCUUUCUAGCUCAGGCCUCGUAACCUCUCACCCACACUCUCAUUUCAAUAGCCUCUGUACCUCCUCUGUCUGUCCAGUCUCUUCCUCUCCAUUCCUAUCACACCGUUGCCCAAGCAACUUCACUGCCUCCGAAUGCCUUUGGACUUUUUUUUUAAACCUUAGACAAAAAUUUAUUGAGCACCACUACAGUUGCAGUAGCCCUGGGGAGACUAGGAUUAAAAGAUGAAAUACUAGCCCACAAGGAAUUUGUGGUCUUUGCCGACAAACAAAAGAUCUCAAUCCCCGUGGAAUGAGGUAAUAUUAACUUGGCAUCCAUAGUUCCUCCUUUUGGUCCCAACCAGUCUUUCCAGAUUUCUCUGCACCAGUCACGUCCCCAUAGGCACUGUAGCUCCCCCCAGCUGGGAGACUCAUUAUGCCAUAAAUGCACUAUACUGUUCCUGCCCUGGU